AAUUCGAAGCAACGCGAAGAACCUUACCAGGUCUUGACAUCCUCUGACAACCCUAGAGAUAGGGCUUUCCCUUCGGGGACAGAGUGACAGGUGGUGCAUGGUUGUCGUCAGCUCGUGUCGUGAGAUGUUGGGUUAAGUCCCGCAACGAGCGCAACCCUUGAUCUUAGUUGCCAGCAUUUAGUUGGGCACUCUAAGGUGACUGCCGGUGACAAACCGGAGGAAGGUGGGGAUGACGUCAAAUCAUCAUGCCCCUUAUGACCUGGGCUACACACGUGCUACAAUGGACAGAACAAAGGGCUGCGAGACCGCAAGGUUUAGCCAAUCCCAUAAAUCUGUUCUCAGUUCGGAUCGCAGUCUGCAACUCGACUGCGUGAAGCUGGAAUCGCUAGUAAUCGCGGAUCAGCAUGCCGCGGUGAAUACGUUCCCGGGCCUUGUACACACCGCCCGUCACACCACGAGAGUUUGCAACACCCGAAGUCGGUGAGGUA
rnacentral:rRNA from 1 species